CUGUUUAACUGCUAGAAACUUGACCAAGCUAUGUGAUCCUUAUAAAACCUUAGACGACUUGGGAGCCAGUAAGAAGAUGAAGUCUAACAGAUGUGGUUUUGGAUUAGCUGCUGACCUAAUAGCUGAUACCAAAUUAUAUGGUAUCAAAGUGUAAAUGUAAUACCACAACCCUACUACCAGCUGUGACAUCUUUGGGUAACUGACCCUAGUGUGCGCUAUUUCCUCCAGGAAUACAUGAGCUGAAAGCCCAGAUGGACUAAGACAAAGCCUGUCUUAAGGAGUGUUACCACACUGACUCCGUUUAUCUUGAAAACUGGGAAGAUAUGACCCCAGACAGAGGAGAAAACAGAUUUGGUGAUAAAGUGUUCGAAGAAAAAAAGUCAGUUUAAAACUGUGGUCUGUCCAGAUCACUUGCCUUAUCUUUCUGUAAACUAAUUUUUAACGAAUAGCUGGUCUCUUUCAAAGAUGAGCAAUGACCAGGAAGACAUGCAUAAUUAGAGCAAUUUCCAGUUAAACAAGCUGUGUUUAUAUCCCCCCUCCCCAAAACCCUACUAAAAUGAUAGUAAAAGAAUAUAAAGAGGCCUAACCCCCACAGGAGUCAGGAGACAUCAGGAGAGGAGAGAUUUCAACAAGUUUUUGAAAGACAGAGAUGGAGUAGUGAGAGGCAAUUAAAUUAGCAAACUGGAGGAAAACAUUGUUUAAAGUGUAUGCUGACCCCAUGAAGGCAUCAGAUACUGUGUAAGGUGGGCAUGAGGCAUAGGGUGAAAACACCUGAAUGUUAGAUCAAAGGCCCCUUCCUCCACCUCUUAAAGCAAGGUGACUACCAGACCAAGCAGGAAAUUGUAGAUUCAGUCUACAGAAACUAAAUCUGAAAGAUGUUGCUGAUGUCAUGUAGAAUUAGAAACAAGGGAAUUAAGAAUAAGUCAGCCCUAUUGUAUGAUCCAGCAAUUCCACUACUAGGUGUAUACCCAAGAGAAUUAAAAACAUA